GACGAACGCUGGCGGCGUGCCUAAUACAUGCAAGUCGAGCGGACUAAUGGGAGCUUGCUCCCGUUAGUUAGCGGCGGACGGGUGAGUAACACGUGGGCAACCUACCUGUAAGACUGGGAUAACUUCGGGAAACCGGAGCUAAUACCGGAUGACAUAAAGGAACUCCUGUUCCUUUAUUGAAAGAUGGCUUCGGCUAUCACUUACAGAUGGGCCCGCGGCGCAUUAGCUAGUUGGUGAGGUAACGGCUCACCAAGGCGACGAUGCGUAGCCGACCUGAGAGGGUGAUCGGCCACACUGGGACUGAGACACGGCCCAGACUCCUACGGGAGGCAGCAGUAGGGAAUCUUCCGCAAUGGACGAAAGUCUGACGGAGCAACGCCGCGUGAGCGAUGAAGGCCUUCGGGUCGUAAAGCUCUGUUGUUAGGGAAGAAUAAGUGCUAGUUGAAUAAGCUGGCACCUUGACGGUACCUAACCAGAAAGCCACGGCUAACUACGUGCCAGCAGCCGCAGUAACAC
rnacentral:rRNA from 1 species